UGGAAAUUGGAUCAACUACGAUAAAAUAAUGACGUUCAAACGCCGGAUUAAAUCGAUUAUUUCUGAUUCAGCGUACUUGUGAAAACUCUCAGUUGAGAGAAGAGGCGCACUUAUAAAAAUAUAGUAAUGCAUAUAAGAGAGAAGGGAACGUACUUACCGGCCUGGCUGUACGGCGAUCGGAAGGAAACAAGGACUUGUGAGCUAUCCGGAUUACCUAACCUGUCCAACCAUGGCCAGUCGGGAGGGUUGUCUGGCUGGAUGAAUCCCCGCGUGAAUCUCAUCUAUCUGUCUGUCUAUAAUUCUUUUGUUGCAAUCAUCUAUUGUCGCCAUAAACUCGAAGUGUAACGAAUGCAUUUUAGCAGUUUUACUUAUUAUCGUCGAAUUUUUGCAAACAUUAAAAGCGUCUAGAGACAAACCCGAUCG
rnacentral:lncRNA from 1 species